GACGAACGCUGGCGGCGUGCUUAACACAUGCAAGUCGAACGGAAAGGCCUUUUCGGAGGUACACGAGUGGCGAACGGGUGAGUAACACGUGGGUGAUCUGCCCUGCACUCUGGGAUAAGCCUGGGAAACUGGGUCUAAUACCGGAUAGGACCGCACUUUAGUGUGUGUGGUGGAAAGUUUUUUCGGUGUAGGAUGAGCCCGCGGCCUAUCAGCUUGUUGGUGGGGUAAUGGCCUACCAAGGCGGCGACGGGUAGCCGGACUGAGAGGUUGGUCGGCCACAUUGGGACUGAGAUACGGCCCAGACUCCUACGAGAGGCAGCAGUGGGGAAUAUUGCACAAUGGGCGCAAGCCUGAUGCAGCGACGCCGCGUGGGGGAUGACGGCCUUCGGGUUGUAAACUCCUUUCGCCAGGGACGAAGCGUUUUGUGACGGUACCUGGAGAAGAAGCACCGGCUAACUACGUG
rnacentral:rRNA from 1 species